UAAGAUCCACUAUGACAAUGAAAAAGAUUUCUGAAAACUGUGUCACCAUAAAUGUUCCAUCAUUGUCCAUAGUAGUCCCAUGCCAUAUUAAUUUCAUAAGAAUAAUUUCUUAUUCAGAUGUUCAUUGUGUUUUUAUGUACUGCUAUAUCUAAAAAAGCAAGUUUCAGCUAAAACCAGAGCCGUGGUUAAGAUACUCUUCGCACCUAGGAUAUGUGUAUAUGUUUAGAUUGCUAACUUUAAACUAUAGUUUUAGAAAAUGUGGUGCCCUCGCUUAUUUUUCUAAUGCAUGAACUUAGGGUAAAUGUUUUAUGUGUAAUGCGUGCUUGAUUUCUUUUUGGUUCUGGUGGAUUUUGAUUUUCUCCACCAUGCUUCUCUCCAACGAGAUGAGUCUGUUUUCGCAGCAGCGGGUGAUGCAUGUGCUUAUUGUUGGUUGUUGCUAUGUGGUAUGCAUUUUCUCAUUGUUGGCUGUUUGUUGUUUGCUAUGAUUAAGAUACAUUGGCAUGUACAUUUUAUAUCAGUUUUGUUUUCAACACCACCUAUCACUGUAUAAUUUGCCGUUAAUAGAGUAGUUUCUCCUUUAUUGCAUUGCAUAAUGCUAGCAAGCUACAUUGCACCAUAAACAAAAAUAAUCCUCUUCCAAGGUUAAACCUGUUUUUUUUCCUUCUAGCAAAGAUCUUUGGAAAAGAUCAAUUCCGUUAGCCUAUAAUAUUGCAGUUCUUUCGUAUCCUUCAAAGAUUUAUAAAUAUUUUCUGUUUCCACUCCAUUCGUUCUCAUGGAUUCUGAAAAAUAUAUUUUUGUUUUUUGUUGAUUAAUAAUAUUGCUUUCCAUUUCAGUUUUGAGGUGGUCGAUGCAUGUAGAAUAUACAGACUUUCCUAGAAUGGCGCCUUUUAGUUUUUCUGCUUGAUGUUAGUUCAUUGAUGAGAACACCUAUGUACAUGAUUGCUGCAUGCAUGAUAUCCUACUAUGUACUGAGAAAUAUUUUUGUUUUCCGGACAUUGUUUUCUAAAUCCUAUCAACAUAUUACCUGAUAUGGUCUUUGAAGUUUCUAUUUUAUAGCGACUCUUUGCACUGGUCAACUUGAGUAUGGUAUGGUUAUCUUUUCUUUUGUUUACAGGCGAUGUGUGGUAGAAGUUGUACUCACAGGAAGACUAUCGUGCUGUGUAUAAACCACGUUCUAUGAUUCACUUAUGUUAUACAUAUUUACUUUCCAGUUUUAGGACUGAAAUCCAUCCAUUGUAAUGAAUUUGGUUGUAUGGGCAUUACCUAUUUGACUUAGGCUUGCUUCAUCACAUAUAGACUGCUUUUCUUUUCCCCAUUGCUUGUAUGACCUAAAACUAUCAUGUAUAUG
rnacentral:lncRNA from 1 species